GAUGAACGCUGGCGGCGUGCCUAAUACAUGCAAGUCGAGCGAACGGACGAUAAGCUUGCUUCUCUGCUGUUAGCGGCGGACGGGUGAGUAACACGUGGAUAACCUACCUAUAUUACUGGGAUAACUUCGGGAAACCGGAUCUAAUACCGGCUGAUAUUUUGAACCGCAUGGUUCAAGAGUGCAAGACGGUCUUGCUGUCACUUAUAGAUGGAUCCGCGCUGCAUUAGCUAGUUGGUAAGGUAACGGCUUACCAAGGCAACGAUGCAUAGCUGAGCUGAGAGGGUGAUCGGCCACACUGGAACUGAGACACGGUCCAGACUCCUACGGGAGGCAGCAGUAGGGAAUAUUCCGCAAUGGGCGAAAGCCUGACCGAGCAACACCGCGUGAGUGAUGAAGGCCUUCGGGUCGUAAAACUCUGUUAUUAGGGAAGAACAUAUGUGUAAGUAACUGUGCACAUCUUGACGGUACCUAAUCAGAAAGCCACGGCUAACUACGUG
rnacentral:rRNA from 1 species